AAAAAUACGAGCCCCGAACGGAGGUAGGAGCCUGUUUGGUCCAGGGGAGCUUCCCAAAGACGAUCAGCUGGUGUGAGCUGCCCUGCACUGCUCCGAGCCGCGGCAGCAGCGCCCGAGCCGCAGCAUCCCGAGCUGGGCUGGGGAUGAGGCAGCGCAGGUACCUCGGGUACCACCCCGCAAACAUCCCUGCCCUGCCCUCCUCUGUGACAGGAGUGACAGUCUGAGUGAAAGGAAGGCACCUCCGAGGUGAUUACGACAGAGUAAAAACUCCUUCAUCUCUGCUGCUGCAGCGUCACCUCGCUACAAAAAGUCCAGUGCUCUUGAGGAACAAGAAACCACCCAAGCUUAACCCACCAAAAAGAAAGGUUACUGAGUCUCUGCUGAAACCUCAAGGAGGAGAGCCUGUCCCCAGCUGGAGAAGCAGCAGGGAGGAGCUCUUUCUGCUCUCCACUGAUAAAAUCCAUGGGUCCAUGGGUGCAGCUUUCUCCCAGAGCAGCUGCAGGAUCCUCUGGCUGACAGCUCUGCAUGGCUGGAGACUGACA
rnacentral:lncRNA from 1 species